rnacentral:lncRNA from 10 species
GGGGUGUUAUGGCUUGUUAUAGGCUCUUUUGUUCCCACUGCCUGGCAGCCUGGUGAGCCAGCCAGGAGUAUCACAGCUCUUUCAUUCCCACAGUUCAACAAGUGGGAGGGCCGGCACCCAAUGGCUUCUUCUCUCCCAUCAUUUGGCAAGCAAGAGGGAGAGUUACAGCUCUUUUACUCCCACUGCCUGUGGCUCAGCGAGUUCCGGGUUCUUGUCCUGUGACCAAGAGGAAUAAGGCUGAUGGAGGUUUUGCCAGCUUGAACAUGUAGUUUCCAAAAUGACUCUGGUUAUCAAUAUCCAUCCAGUAGAAGGAGAAAGAGGAAGAAGAUUGUGUGGUAGAAGACUGAAUGAGCCAGUCCUGGAGUCCCUACUACUCAUACUCCAUUGGCCGGAACUCAGUCACAUGGCCACAUCUGACCAUGAGGCAGUCUGGGAAAUGGAUUCCAGCUGUGUUCCAAUGAGGAAGCAGGUUCGAUGAAGAUCUAACCAAUCUCUCUCUCACAGAGGUAUCAAAAAGCAUUAAAGAAAGGCAGUGCUAUUUUCCUUUCAAAUUCUACUCCAACUCAUUCUCUUACUCUGUAAAUAGCUUCAGCAUCUGCUCAACUUUCCACAUUAUUUCAGUCACUAAGUCUGUACUAGUCCAUUUUCAUACUGCUAUAAAGAACUGCCUGAGACUGGGUAAUUUAUAAAAGAAAAAGGUUUAUUGACUCACAGUUCAGCAUGGCUUGGGAGGCCUCAGGAAACUUACAAUCAUGACAAAAGGUGAAGAGGAAGUAAGGCACCUCCUUCACUAGGUGAAAGGAAGGAGAAGUGUUGAGCGAAGGGGGAAGAUCCCAUUAUAAAACCAUCAGAUCUCGUGAGAACUCUCACCAUCACAAGAACAGCAGGGGGGAACAGCCCCCAUGAUUCAAUUACCUCCACCUGGUCCCACCCUCCACACAUGGAGAUUAUGGGAAUUAAAAUUUGAGAUGAGAUUUAUGUGGGGAAAAGAGCCAAACCAUAUCAAAGUCCGUUUGUUUUCUCAUUCAUUUAACAAACAUUUUCUGGCUAUUAAUCAUUUUGCCAGGAACUGUGCUAGACACUGGGAACAUAAUAGUGAAAAAGACACAAUAUUUUAUUAUUAGUCAAUGAUAAUGGACUGAAAGAAGAAUAUAGUUGACCCUUGAACAACGAGGGGAUUAGGGACACUGACACCCUGUGCAGCUGAAAAUCCAUGUAUAACUUUUGAAUCUUCCAAAACAACUCAUGCCUGUAAUCCCAUUACUUUGGGGAGGCCAAGGCAGGCAGGUCACUUGAGCCCAGGAAUUUGAGACCAGUCUGGGAAAAAUGGCAAAUCCCUAUCUCUACAAAAAAAAUUCAAAAUUAUCCAGGCAUGGUACUGCAUGCCUGUAGUCCCAGCUACUUAGGAGGCUGAGGUGGGAGGAUCGCUUGAGUCCAGACCCGAAAACUUAACUACUUAUAGCCUACUAUUGACCAGAAGCCUUACUGAGGACAUUAACAGUCAAUUAACACAUAUUUGUAUGAUAUGUGUAUUGUAUACUGUAUUCUUGUAAUAAAGAAAGCUAGAGAAAAGAAAAUGUUAUUCAGAGAAUCAUGAAGAAGAGAAAAC